GCCUGGCUGGCUCAGUCAAUAGAGCAUGCAGCUCUUGAUUUCAGGAUUGUGAGUUCAAGCCCCACGUUGGGUG
rnacentral:tRNA from 1 species